GCCCUGCUCUGCAUGAAAGAAAUUUCAGCCUUUGUGAUGAAUAUGGAGGACUUCAUUUUGGGCCAAUGAACACUCGGGCUUUAAUUCUAAGCUCAGGAAGGAACCUGAUCUGAGGACUCCUGAAUGAAGGAUAAUGAGACUGCUGUUCCUGGAACUGUCCAUCAUCGGCGGGGUCCAUGCAAGCCAACUGGAAUAUUUCCUGGGGGGAGAGCGGGCUCAUCGAGGGGUAUUCACUACGGCCACUCCUGAAAAGCAAUGGCAAAGGAGGAGGAAAUGUGGACAUGAGAGGAAAAGAGAGAAAGUCCUGUCAAAGGCACAAUUCCCACCCCAGAUACGACUUCCUUCCCAGUAAGGGCACACCCGU